GGGUCCGCGUUUCAUUAGCUAGUUGGUAGGGUAAUGGCCUACCAAGGCAACGAUGAGUAGCUGGUCUGAGAGGAUGAUCAGCCACACUGGAACUGAAACACGGUCCAGACUCCUACGGGAGGCAGCAGUGGGGAAUAUUGCGCAAUGGGCGAAAGCCUGACGCASCAACGCCGUGUGAGGGAUGAAGGCUUUCGGGUCGUAAACCUCUGUCGGAAGGGAAGAACGGGSAUUGGUCUAAUAAGYCUUUGUUUUGACGGUACCUUUAUAGGAAGCACCGGUUAACUCCGUGCCUGSAGCCGCGGUAAUACSCGGGCUGGCUG
rnacentral:rRNA from 1 species